GCCUACGGGGGGCAGCAGUGAGGAAUAUUGGUCAAUGGUCGGGAGACUGGACCAGCCAAGCCGCGUGAGGGAUGAAGGUACAGAGUAUCGUAAACCUCUUUUGUCAGGGAACAAAGGCGGGGACGUGUCCCCGGAUGAGUGUACCUGAAGAAAAAGCAUCGGCUAACUCCGUGCCAGCAGCCGCGGUAAUACGGAGGAUGCGAGCGUUAUCCGGAUUUAUUGGGUUUAAAGGGUGCGCAGGCGGUCUGUUAAGUCAGCGGUCAAAGCCCGGGGCUCAACCCCGGCCCGCCGUUGAAACUGGCACU
rnacentral:rRNA from 1 species